rnacentral:misc_RNA from 1 species
ACCUACAUGACGAACAGAGCGGCCAUGGUUAAGGGUAUUAUUGAGACAGGCGAAAGGGCGCCGAGAUAAUGGCAGCGCCCUAUGUUUACCGAAAUACCGGUUCCAUUAUGGAUAGACCCCUGAGCGCCCGUGACAGUGUGCAAUAUACUGCAAUUUGUAAUCGGUCAGCGUUGACGUCUAAUAACUCGAUCCGUUAUGCUCGUGAAUAUGUUUUUUCCACGCUAGCUCUCGUAAUUUCAUACCUACAGCGAGCGUUGGAAUAAAGAUAUUUUUUUCAUCUCGACUAUUGAUAUUUAUUGAGGGAACAAGAUUUGAUCAUGAAUAAUCCGGGACAAAAUUUGGUUACCACAUAUGUAUGCAAGAGCGGAAGAGAAUACAUCGUCAAGAUGAGGGUCGUCGGCUUAGGAGGAGAAUCGUCGACAUCGCGGCGCAACUUGGACAUUACCGUCACCGACAAACACACUGCCGAGAAAUGGCAGUCCUCGUACGACGUCGCCUGUCUAUUGGUACGUUCACCCUUGAAUGAUCAUCUUGUUUCGGCAGAUAUCGAGAAUCUCACCCAGAAAACAGGAAAUUACAAACAAUUCGAUAUAUUCGUAGCCAUGCUGCAGUCUGGUUUGUUAAAAACGAGCGACUGUGUCUCCCUCGACCUGCUAACUUUUGACGAUCUAGAGCUGUUGCGCUGCCGUAGGACCGAAGUUGGGUCAGAUUAUUCGUUGGUCGGUGCCAAGAUGAGCAACAGGCGAUAUUUGAUUAUUACUUACAACGUGGAGUUUGACAGAAUCCAUUAUCCAUUGCCAUUGGAGUAUUGCGGCCUACCCGACACCGCCGUUCUACAGUCAACGAUAAGAAAGCUAGAAGCUGAAUUGGAGAGACUCAGGUCAGCUGGGGGUGGAAUUGAGAAUCUUUGUAAGAAACUUGAACUGCUAACAGCAGCCAACAAGAAACUUGUCGAAGAAAACCACAGAUUGUCUAAUGGCGGUCGAGGAAUUCAUCGUUUACUCGGAGCUGUUAAAUCCUUGGAACGGUCGGUGGCUGAAGAGCGGGCAUCAUUUCGUUCUCGAAUACAAAAACUGCGUACUGAGAACUCCAUUUUGGUGGCAAAGCUGCACCGCUCAAGCGAAGCUGUCGAUAGAAAGCCCCGACGAUCCAGUCCGCUAACGCUUCCAUUCCAAAGCAGAUGUUCAAUGGGUAGAAGACGUAAGAGCCGAUCAGCACUAGGUCGUGGUCGAUCAAAGUCGGCAAGUUCCUCGCCAGGAAAGCUACAUGCAGCACUUGUGUCUGCUUUUUGUAAUUCUGAAGUGAAAACUUUCUAUACAGCUUCUCAGAUCUUCUCGCUGCUCCUUAUGUAUAAACUGUAUUUAACCGAAAGUUCUCGCCGAUAGGCAGCUCCUCUGUCGACUCGAUCAAGUCUAUAGGGUCCCCUCGCCAAGGAGUCGUAGGAUGUCGUCGGUUGAAGACGAAAGAAAUAGACUUUGGAAAUUUGGAGUCUCGAAUUCACAAAUUGCAGAAGAUGCUCAAG